CGGCGAGUGAAGCGGGAUGAGCUCAAAUUUGUAAUCUGGCGGCCUUUGGCUGUCCGAGUUGUAGUCUGGAGAAGCGUUUUCCGCGUCGGACCGUGUACAAGUCCCUUGGAACAGGGCGUCGUAGAGGGUGAGAAUCCCGUCUUUGACACGGACUGCCGAUGCUUUGUGAUGCGCUCUCGAAGAGUCGAGUUGUUUGGGAAUGCAGCUCAAAACGGGUGGUAAAUUCCAUCUAAAGCUAAAUACGGGCGAAAGACCGAUAGCGAACAAGUACCGUGAGGGAAAGAUGAAAAGCACUUUGGAAAGAGAGUUAAACAGUACGUGAAAUUGUUGAAAGGGAAACGCUUGAAGUCAGUCGCGUCUCCUGGGACUCAGCCUUGCUUCUGCUCGGUGUACUUCCUGGGGUUGACGGGCCAGCAUCGAUUUUGACCGUCGGAGAAAGGCCUUGGGAACGUGGCACCCUUUGGGUGUGUUAUAGCCCUCGGUCGUAUGCGACGGUUGGGAUCGAGGACCGCAGCAUGCCUUUUUGGCCGGGGUUCGCCCACGUACGUGCUUAGGAUGCUGGCGUAAUGGCUUUAAGCGACCCGUCUUGAAACACGGACCAAGGAGUCUAACAUGCCUGCGAGUGUUUGGGUGGUAAACCCGGACGCGCAAUGAAAGUGAAACGUUGGGACCUCUGUCGUGGAGGGCACCGACGCCCGGACCAGACCUUUUGUGACGGUUCCGAGGUAGAGCAUGCAUGCUGGGACCCGAAAGAUGGUGAACUAUGCUUGAGUAGGGUGAAGCCAGAGGAAACUC
rnacentral:rRNA from 1 species